rnacentral:rRNA from 1 species
GACGUAGGGGGCGAGCGUUGUCCGGAUUUAUUGGGCGUAAAGCGUGCGUAGGCGGCUGCGCAAGUCGGUUGUGAAACCCCGGGGCUCAACCCCGGAACUGCAUCCGAUACUGCGUGGCUAGAGGUAGGUAGGGGAGAUCGGAAUUCCUGGUGUAGCGGUGAAAUGCGCAGAUAUCAGGAGGAACACCGGUGGCGAAGGCGGAUCUCUGGGCCGUACCUGACGCUCAGGCACGAAAGCUAGGGGAGCGAACAGG